rnacentral:rRNA from 1 species
CCCUUAGACACUCUAGGCGGCACGCGCGCUACAAUGGGUGGAAGAACGUGUUACUGCCUCCGAAAGGAGGGGUGAAUCACGAAUUCUUGCCCGUGAAUGGGAUAGUUUGCUGCAAUUUUCGGACUUGAACUAGGAAUCCCUUGUAAACAUGCUCAAGAAUAGCGUGUUGAAUACGUCCCUGCCGUUUGUACACACCGCCCGUCGUUUCUUCCGACUGAUACUCAUUGUGAGUUGCAAGGACCCUUUAUUGGGAAAUUGCUGCAAAUGCUUUGUAUUGGAGGAAGAAAAAGUCGUAACA